GGUUGUUAAAUUAGGGAUUAGUUUGUGUUUUGCUCUUUUAUUAGUUUCUUUUGUAACCAGUCCUGACUUUUAGGCAUGUUAACAUUUCUUUACCCCAUUUUAUUGAGGUUAGUUGAAUUUGAAACUUCUCAGAAGACUAUAUAAAGGCUUUCAACAAAAUCAACAUUUAACACCAUUCAGGAGAAAUGAAACAAGUUCAAGAAUAGAUUUGAAAAAAUGCCAUCGACUGGAGAUGAAAUUGCCAUAGUGGGGAUAGGAUGCAAUUUUCCUGGAGAUUUAAAAAAAAAUUAGGAAAGAAGAAAGUCUGUGUAUGGUGGGGGAAAACAGACUCCUUGUCUCUGGUAA